CCUACGGGAGGCAGCAGUGAGGAAUAUUGGUCAAUGGACGAGAGUCUGAACCAGCCAAGUAGCGUGAAGGAUGACUGCCCUAUGGGUUGUAAACUUCUUUUAUAUGGGAAUAAAACAGGGUAUGCAUACCCUCAUGUAUGUACCAUAUGAAUAAGGAUCGGCUAACUCCGUGCCAGCAGCCGCGGUAAUACGGAGGAUCCGAGCGUUAUCCGGAUUUAUUGGGUUUAAAGGGAGCGUAGGUGGAUUGUUAAGUCAGUUGUGAAAGUUGGCGGCUCAACCGUAAAAUUGCAGUUGAAACUGGCAGUAUUGAGUACAGUAGAGGUGGGCGGAAUUCGUGGUGUAGCGGUGAAAUGCUUAGAUAUCACGAAGAACUCCGAUUGCGAAGGCAGCUCACUGGACUGCAACUGACACUGAUGCUCGAAAGUGUGGGUAUCAAACAGGAUUAGAUACCCUUGUAGUC
rnacentral:rRNA from 1 species